GCUCAGAACGAACGCUGGCGGCAUGCCUCAUACAUGCAAGUCGAACGAGGUCUUCGGACCUAGUGGCGCACGGGUGAGUAACAUGUGGGAAUCUACCUGAAGGUUCGGAAUAACUGCGGGAAACUGUAGCUAAUACCGGAUGUGUCUGCAAAGAGAAAGAUUUAUCGCCUUCAGAUGAGCCCGCACUAGAUUAGCUAGUUGGUGAGGUAAUUGCUCCACCAAGGCUACGAUCUAUAGCUGAUUUGAGAGGAUGAUCAGCCACACUGGGACUGAGACACGGCCCAGACUCCUACGGGAGGCAGCAGUAGGGAAUAUUGGACAAUGGGGGAAACCCUGAUCCAGCAAUGCCGCGUGAGUGAAGAAGGCCUUCGGGUUGUAAAGCUCUUUCAUCAAUGAUGAUAAUGACAUUAGUUGAAGAAGAAGCCCCGGCUAACUUCGUGCCAGCAGCCGCGGUAAUACGAAGGGGGCUAGCGUUGUUCGGAAUCACUGGGCGUAAAGCGUAUGUAGGCGGAUCAAAAAGUUAGAUGUGAAAUCCCUGGGCUCAACCCAGGAACUGCAUUUAAAACUAGUGAUCUAGAAUUUGGUAGGGGCCAGUAGAAUUUCCAGUGUAGAGGUGAAAUUCGUAGAUAUUGGAAAGAAUACCAGUGGCGAAGGCGACUGGCUGGGCCAUUUUUGACGCUGAGAUACGAAAGCGUGGGUAGCAAACAGGAUUAGAUACCCUGGUAGUCCACGCAGUAAACGAUGAGUGCUAGUCGCUGGGACAAUAGUUUCAGUGUCGAAGCUAACGCAUUAAGCACUCCGCCUGGGAAGUACGGUCGCAAGAUUAAAACUCAAAUAAAUUGACGGGGGCCCGCACAAGCGGUGGAGCAUGUGGUUUAAUUCGAAGCAACGCGAAGAACCUUACCAGACCUUGACAUGGUAUGUUUGAAUUACAGAAUCGUAAUUCUUCAGUUCGGCUGGCAUACACACAGGUGCUGCAUGGCUGUCGUCAGCUCGUGUCGUGAGAUGUUGGGUUAAGUCCCGCAACGAGCGCAACCCUCAUUUUUAGUUGCCAUCAGGUUAAGCUGGGCACUCUAAAAAAACUGCCGGUGAUAAGCUGGAGGAAGGCGGGGAUGACGUCAAGUCCUCAUGGCCCUUACGGUCUGGGCUACACACGUGCUACAAUGGUGGUGACAGUGGGCAGCAAUACUGCAAAGUAAAGCUAAUCCCAAAAAACCAUCUCAGUUCGGAUUGGACUCUGCAACUCGAGUCCAUGAAGUUGGAAUCGCUAGUAAUCGUAGAUCAGCGUGCUACGGUGAAUACGUUCUCGGGCCUUGUACACACCGCCCGUCACGCCAUGGGAGUUGGUUUUACCUUAAGCCGGUGCGCUAACCGCAAGGAAGCAGCCGUCCACGGUAGGGUCAGCGACUGGGGCGAAGUCGUAACAAGGUAACCGUAGGGGAACCUGCGGUUG
rnacentral:rRNA from 1 species